AUUGGGGUCAAUGGGGAUAUUGGGGUCAGUGGGGACAAUGGGGACAAUGGGGACAAUGGGACAAUGAGGACAAUGGGGUCAAUGGGGACAAUGGGACAAUGGGGACAUAUUGGGGUCAAUAGGAACAUAUUAGGGUCAGUGGGAACAAUGGGGACAAUGGAGAAAUUGGGGUCAAUGGGGACAUAUUGGGGUCAACGGGGACAUUGGGGUCAGUGGGGACAAUGGGACAAUGGGGACAUAUUGGGGACAAUGCGGACAACGGGACAAUGGGGUCAGUGGGGACAAUGGGGGACAAUGGGGACAACGGGAUCAAUGGGGACAUAUUGGGGUCAAUGGGGUCAAUGGGAACAAUGGCGGACUCCCCCAGGCCACGCCCCCUCUCCGCCCACCCCUCCUCCCAUUGGCCGCCCCCGGGACACACCCCUCUCCCAGACCACGCCCACAAAGGGGCGUGGCUAGAUGGAGGAAGGGGGCGUGGUUUGCGAGGAAAGUGGGCGGGGCUUUUGGGGGGGGAAAGUGGGCGGGGCCUCACCGUGUCCACGCCCCCGGGGGCGGGGCUUAGCGUCACCAGCAUGGGGAAGGUGGGGGCCGUCAGCUGCAAACCAGUACGGACCAGUAUAAACCAGUACAAACCAGUACGGACCGACACAGACCAGUACGAGCCAGUAGAGACCAGGAGAAAGCAGGCCCAGCCCAUCCCAGUCCCUUCCCAAGCCGCUCCCAGUAUAUCCCAGUCCAUCCCAGUAUAUCCCAGUGCAUCCCAGUAUAUCCCAGUCCAUCCCAGUAUAUUUCAGUCUAUCCCAGUCCAUCCCAGUAUAUCCCAGUCCAUCCCAGUACAUCCCAGUAUAUCCCAGUAUAUCCCAGUAUAUCCCAGUACAUCCCAGUGUCCCAGACCCCCCCCAGAGCCCCAUGACCCCCUCCCAGUCCAUCCCAGUGUCCUCCCAGUCCAUCCCAGUACAUCCCAGUCUAUCCCAGUACAUCCCAGUAUAUCCCAGUUCCCUCCCAGUGCCCUCCCAGUCCAUCCCAGUCCCUCCCAGUAUAUCCCAGUGCCCUCCCAGUAUAUCCCAGUCCAUCCCAGUAUAUCCCAGUGCACUCCCAGUUCCCUCCCAGUCCAUCCCAGUAUAUCCCAGUCCAUCCCAGUGCCCUCCCAGUCCAUCCCAGUAUAUCCCAGUACCCUCCCAGUUCGUCCCAGUCCAUCCCAGUGCCCUCCCAGUCCAUCCCAGUCCAUCCCAACCCCCUCCCAGUUCAUCCCAGUGCCCUCCCAGUAUAUCCCAGUACAUCCCAGUCCCUCCCAGUACCCCACAGCCUCCUCCCAGAGCCCCAUAACCCCCUCCCAGUCCAUCCCAGUGCCCUCCCAGUGCCCUCCCAGUCCAUCCCAGUCCAUCCCAGUCCCUCCCAGUCCAUCCCAGUUCCCUCCCAGUCCCUCCCAGUGCCCUUCCAGUGACUCCCACUCCACCCCAGUCCUUCCCAGUACAUCCCACUGCCCUCCCAGUCCAUCCCAGUACGCACCAGUGCCAUCCCAGUCCAUCCCAGUCCAUCCCAGUAUAUCCCAGUCC
ensembl:lncRNA